rnacentral:misc_RNA from 1 species
GAUGAAGAACGCAGCGAAAUGCGAUACUUGGUGUGAAUUGCAGAAUCCCGUGAACCAUCGAGUCUUUGAACGCAAGUUGCGCCCGAAGCCACUAGGCCGAGGGCACGCCUGCCUGGGCGUCACACGUCGUUGCCCCCCACCAUCUACUCCUUCGGGAUUGCGGGGGGCGGAUGAUGGCCUCCCGUGCGCCUAGCCGCGCGGUUGGCAUAAAUACCAAGUCCUCGGCGACGCACGCCACGACAAUCGGUGGUUGCGAAACCUCGGUUGCCCGUCGUGUGCGUUCGUCGCGCAUCGAGGGCUCGAAAAAAUGCUCGGCUCCGGCUCUGCUUUCAACGCGACCCCAGGUCAGGCGGGGUUACCCGCUGAAUUUAAGCAUAUCAAUAAGCGGAGGA